CAGAGUUGCAAAACUCCCAACCCUUUGUGAACGAACCUACCAGUUGCCUCGGCGGCGAGCCCUUCCGGGGGCGGACCGCCGGAGGAAUACAAACUCUUUGCAUUAUUGUAUCUCUGAUUACUUAUAUAAUAAGUUA
rnacentral:misc_RNA from 1 species